rnacentral:lncRNA from 1 species
UAUGCGCUAUUAAAGUUUUUUCUUUCAGAUUCAUUAUAUUUAAAUUAAACUCCACCCUCACACAAAAAGACCUAAAAAAUUUCAUUCAUCAUAAAAAAUUAAACACUAUAUAAGCCAUUUAAGUGGUUAUAUUUGGAAUCAAAUCUACUAUUUUAUAAUGUUUUUUUAAUAUUAUUAUUAAUAUUUUUUUAGAAUAGUAAUUUAAAUAUUCAAAAUCCGAACUAAAUUAAACCGU